rnacentral:lncRNA from 1 species
UCUUUGACUGUCUCCUUUUUCUGCUCCCAGUCCUUGUGUUACAGUACAGCUCCCCCAUCAAACAUGGCUGGGCCGGGCUGGAGUGUCUUCAAUCCAAAUUCCCAGGAAUUCCAUGCGGUCCCCUGAGAACUCUGGCAGGAGUUGUUAAGAGGGAAGCAGAACACACAUCACAGCCUCACAUCAGGUUGGGCCACCCAUCAAGGUGAGCUAGGGCAGUCCCAGGCAGCUGUCGUCCGGACGCCACACACCCUGCCUGAGCCUUGCUUCACUCCUUGUUCAGGCCUGAGACCGCUGCCCUGAGA